AGCUCGGUGGUCGAGUGGUAAAUCGUCUGCACUAGAAAUCAGGAGGUCGUGGGUUCGAGUCCCACCCGAGUGA
rnacentral:tRNA from 1 species